rnacentral:rRNA from 1 species
UACGUAGGGUGCAAGCGUUGCCCCGGAUUUAUUGGGCGUAAAGGGCUCGUAGGCGGUUUGUCGCGUCGGGGAGUGAAAACUCAGGGCUCAACCCUGAGCGUGCUUCCGGAUACGGGCAGACUAGAGGUAUGCAGGGGAGAACGGAAUUCCUGGUGUAGCGGUGGAAGUGCGCAGAUAUCAGGAGGAACACCGGUGGCGAAGGCGGUUCUCUGGGCAUUACCUGACGCUGGAGGAGCGAAAGCAUGGGGAGGCGAACAGG